rnacentral:rRNA from 1 species
UGGGGAAUUUUGGACAAUGGGCGAAAGCCUGAUCCAGCAAUGCCGCGUGUGUGAAGAAGGCCUUCGGGUUGUAAAGCACUUUUGUCCGGAAAGAAAUCCUUGGCUCUAAUACAGUCGGGGGAUGACGGUACCGGAAGAAUAAGCACCGGCUAACUACGUGCCAGCAGCCGCGGUAAUACGUAGGGUGCAAGCGUUAGUCGGAAUUACUGGGCGUAAAGCGUGCGCAGGCGGUUUGCUAAGACCGAUGUGAAAUCCCCGGGCUCAACCUGGGAACUGCAUUGGUGACUGGCAGGCUAGAGUAUGGCAGAGGGGGUAGAAUUCCACGUGUAGCAGUGAAAUGCGUAGAGAUGUGGAGGAAUACCGAUGGCGAAGGCAGCCCCCUGGGCCAAUACUGACGCUCAUGCACGAAAGCGUGGGGAGCAAACAGGAUUAGAUACCCUGGUAGUCCACGCCCUAAACGAUGUCAACUAGUUGUUGGGGAUUCAUUUCCUUAGUAACGUAGCUAACGCGUGAAGUUGACCGCCUGGGGAAUACGGUCGCAAGAUUAAAACUCAAAUGAAUUGACGGGGUCAUAGCUGUUU